UACGAAGGGUGCAAGCGUUAAUCGGAAUUACUGGGCGUAAAGGGUGCGUAGGCGGUUCGUUAAGUCUGUCGUGAAAUCCCCGGGCUCAACCUGGGAAUGGCGAUGGAUACUGGCGAGCUAGAGUGUGUCAGAGGAUGGUGGAAUUCCCGGUGUAGCGGUGAAAUGUGUAGAGAUCGGGAGGAACAUCAGUGGCGAAGGCGGCCAUCUGGGACAACACUGACGCUGAAGCACGAAAGCGUGGGGAGCAAACAGG
rnacentral:rRNA from 1 species